GGAACGACUUCCAUUUGUAAUGCAGGUGGAAGUUGGUUCCCUGUCCUAUCUGAGGAGAUCCAAUGCAUGAAUGAUCCUUACGACAUAGGAGAUACAACGCAUAGGGUCCAUUUAAUGUAGAUAACGAGAACAGCGUUGCCUAGCGAGAAUAGGAAUGGCCGAAUCAAAUGAUUUAUCAGCUAUCAAAAUUUUGCCUUACUGAUUCUUUACCUCAGCUGAGAAUCGAACCUGAAAAGCUGUCAAAUUCCUUAAGAAAAAGGAUCAUCAAGCUCCAAAGUCCAAGUUCAUCAAGUAUUUGGAGAAAAAUAAUUCCAUCUAGUAUCCUCAACUUGACCAACGGGCGUUUACAUCCACACGUCCACGACUCCAUCUGGCAUAUCCUCCACAAGAUUGAUUUAAAACACAUUUACGAUGGUCGUUUUCAUAUAACAAACCACACUUUAAACAAAAGAAUUGUAUUUUUCUUUACAGAACGCAACACUGACACUGCCAUUUGAACACCCUUCAGCAUCAGCAAUAAAACCUAACGCAAAAUCCUCGGUCCCGGAGCUCCGAGCGAAACAAAAAAAAAAAAACACAUCCCCGAAUGGUUUCAGCAUUCUUGUCAACUCUCCAGCUCCUGCACAUCCAAUUCCAGCUGCAUGCGUGCCGAUAUUACUUUAAAACCCAGAAGUAAGAUAAUAACCCCCAUUGAACCAAUCCUCCUACGAUCAGCGCAUUUCGCCACAGAAAUCAACCACAAACCGACGCUUUGAAGGGUGAAAAACCUCGUCACAACGCAACCGAAAGCCUUCCGGGGUGAGUUGCCUUGUGGAAAAAAGAAACGUCCUCAACCUUGAGGACGAGCGUACGAGCGUAACGAACGGCGACAACACCGCCGACACACGCACGCACGUCGCCCAAGAAGCCCGAUCGCCGGUUUGUCAUAAUUUUUGAGCCUAAUAUCAUUUUCCGUUGCCGUGUGCUCAAUUUAAAAGGCCUCGGCUGCAUGGCGUACCAGACGUGCCGGGAAAGGGGAUGAACUGUCAAAGGACUGUUCUGCGGGCGAAUCCCGAAUCCCUGUAACGAGGGUUGAUUUAAGACUCAAAAUCCCAACCGAAACGCACGGCGAAAAUGUGACACACACACAGCAGAGGCACCGUGUCCUCGCUUGCCUCAAGGACUGGAAGGGAUUCGUACUCCGUCCCAAAAGUAAGACGAAAGCAGGCGAUUGUACUUUCACCACCGAAACAAGUGGAACUACCAUUUUCGCGAAAAUCUGCUCACAUUUUCUUCGGCCUUUCCUGCAGGCGUUUGUUUUGCGGUGGUUUCCGAAAUGUUCGACACAUUUUAACGAAACACCACACUUCCAAAGUGUUGUAGUAGUAGUAGUUUGGUGGCUUGUUUGGCUGCGGUUUUCCCAUUUUGCCAGGUGGUAACAGCUGGCUGUAAGUGAGUUUUGAAACCGCGUCUGACGCGCAAAAGAUUGAGUAUGGGCGUACACAUCGGGUGGGGGGGAGGGGGAUUGGAUUGAUUGGGCUGAAACUUUGAACGGGGAGGAAAAAUGUGUUGCACUCCGUGUCUAAUGCCGGUGGUUGCCGCAGAAAGUGGGAAUGUUUUGGUUAAAUUGUAACACAAAUUGUUACGUUACAGCUUCGCACGAGUUGGGAAAGUGAGCCAAGGUCAAACAAACAUUAGCAUUCUAAUGCAGGUAUUGAGAGGAGAUGAUAUUUCGCAGAUGGUAAACUAGAGCUCAAGAGUCAAGUGUUUGUAAAAUAAUUCCUGACGCCCAGCCGAAAAGUCUUGUAGAAGUAUUUCCAGGAAUAUGAUCUCUUGCCAGUCAUGAGUUUCAACAAUUUAGAUCCUCUAAGUUUUAACAGCUACUUCAGGCCUUUUUAAUUUUGCUUCAUUCACACUCGUUGUCUAACACAGGAGUUUAACAGCUGGCUGAUGGAAUAUUAAACGUUCUUUGUCUAGGGCUCCAACAUCUCCUAGUUCUUCAUUCCAGCUAGUAGAUGAUAGUAUGAACAAUCCUUCGAGUGUGAUUCAUUGUCUUUUCUCGGAUAUUUCACUCUAAAUAAAUUUCUAUUGAUGUAAAAUUUCCUUUAAUCACAGAAGAAGGACAGCUUGGUACCUUGAAAGACUGCCCCAGAACAAUAUCAAUGUAUCCACCAAGAACGAAGAUAUGAACCGGGAUGUUCAGACCAUCUCAGACCAGACUCAGACCUUCUGAACGCCAGUUAAAGGAGGAUGUAGGAAAUAGAUCCUUGGAAUUUCUCUUUGAGCCUUGAGUAGUCUAGGCCUGCCACCUUCUGGCUUCCUGAAGUAGAUAACCUCCAUAGCAGGAGAGUCAAUCUUACGUCUUUGAACCCAGUUCUUAAAAUAUUUUAGCAAAAGGUACU